UGCUGUUCUAGACGCUCCUCCAGAAGCAGCCUACAGUACUAACCCAUCUGAGCAGGAGUGACAUCAGUGGGGUAAGGAAGCUUCACAAUAACUGUAUGAGAUCAGUUAAGAAGAGGCAAUGGCAGCCAUAAUUAGGUCUAUGCAACAUCACUACUGAGGUCCUUCUCCUUGCCGUCCUCCCCAGGGCUCCCUACACCCUGUCUCAGGUUCCGUCACCUUGGCAAGGAAAGGAGCUUCCCUCCAUAACUUCCAUCUUUUCUUCAGGACAUGCAAAUGGCUAUGUACAUGGAUCCAGAAAAUUCCAGGGACUCCUGACAUCCACUCCCCAGGCCUGAGGGUAUUGUGACCUUGGUGAACUCCAGGAAGGACACAGCCCCAUCUCCAUCUUCAUCCGCUUCCUGCACCGUGCG